ensembl:misc_RNA Metazoa_SRP Metazoan signal recognition particle RNA
GCUGGAUGUCGUGGCGGGCACCUGUAAUCCCAGCUACUCAGGAGGCUGAGGCAGGAGAAUUGCUUGAACCCGGGAGGUGGACGUUGCAGUGAGCCGAGAUCACUGCACUCCAGCCUGGGUGACAGAGCUAGACUCUGUCUCAA